UACGGAGGGUGCAAGCGUUAUCCGGAUUCACUGGGUUUAAAGGGUGCGUAGGUGGGUUGGUAAGUCAGUGGUGAAAUCUCCGGGCUUAACCUGGAAACUGCCAUUGAUACUAUCAAUCUUGAAUACCUUGGGGGUGAGCGGAAUAUGUCAUGUAGCGGUGAAAUGCUUAGAUAUGACAUAGAACACCAAUUGCGAAGGCAGCUCACUACACGGUCAUUGACACUGAGGCACGAAAGCGUGGGGAUCAAACAGG
rnacentral:rRNA from 1 species